rnacentral:lncRNA from 13 species
GGCAAAGUGUAUCAGAUCAGCUCUGUGAAUCCUUCUGCAGCCAUUAACCUAUUUGGGUAAGAAGAUGUUAGUGGCGUUCCUCAGUUUCACAGUUUCCUAAGUCAAGGGAACCUGGGUACGGUGAACUGUGAAAGGCAACUGCACAGUAGUCUUCAGUGGGCUGCACUUCUCCAGUGAAAGAUUUUUAUUGGCACGUAUGAGAACACAUGCAUGCCUUCUGUAAUGAGUGAAUGCAGGUGGAUUCAUUAAAGCACCUUUUCUCAAAAUUGAACACGGUUUUAACAAUUCACAAAAUUACUAUUACUGGAUUUAUGGUUUCACUCCUCUCAGGUAAAUAUUGCUUUCAAGAAUGUGGAUUCUUUUAAUAAAUGACUAUAUCUUUAAAAUAAGAAAAUUAUACCUUUAUUUAAAAGGAAAAUGUUUGGAAAAGAAAUAAGCGGUAAGUGUUGAAUAAU